CAGUAGCCACGGGAAUACGUAGGUGGCAAGCGUUGUCCGGAAUUAUUGGGCGUAAAGGGCUCGCAGGCGGUCUCUUAAGUCUGAUGUGAAAGCCCACGGCUCAACCGGGGAGGGUCAUUGGAAACUGGGAAACUUGAGUGCAGAAGAGGAGAGUGGAAUUCCACGUGUAGCGGUGAAAUGCGUAGAGAUGUGGAGGAACACCAGUGGCGAAGGCGACUCUCUGGUCUGUAACUGACGCUGAGGAGCGAAAGCGUGGGGAGCGAACAGGAUUAGAUACCCCCGUAGUCCCUGUCUCUUAUAC
rnacentral:rRNA from 1 species